rnacentral:tRNA from 1 species
GCCCAAGUGGUGAAAUGGCAGACACACCGUCUUCAGGAGGCGGCGCUCGCAAGAGCAUGGGAGUUCAAGUCUCCCCUUGGGCA